rnacentral:rRNA from 1 species
GACAAACGCUGGCGGCAUGCCUAACACAUGCAAGUCGAACGGACAGAACAGGGAAGCUUUUCGGAGUGGAACUGGAAAGUUAGUGGCGGAUGGGUGAGUAACGCGUGGACAACCUACCUUGUAAAGGGGAAUAACCUCGAGAAAUCGAAGCUAAUACCCCAUAAUAACCUUGCUUCGCAUGAAGUAAGGAGGAAAGGCGGCCUUAGCGCUGUCGAUACAAGAUGGGUCCGCGUCUGAUUAGCUAGUUGGUGAGGUAAAGGCUCACCAAGGCGACGAUCCGUAGCCGGCCUGAGAGGGUGAACGGCCACAUUGGAACUGAGACACGGCCCAAACUCCUACGGGAGGCAGCAGUGGGGAAUCUUCCGCAAUGGGCGAAAGCCUGACGGAGCAAUGCCGCGUGAGUGAAGAAGGCCUUCGGGUUGUAAAACUCUGUCCUUAUCGAAGAGAGAGUGUUGUAGUAACUGACAAUACUAGGACGGUAGAUGAGGAGGAAGCCCCGGCUAACUACGUG